rnacentral:rRNA from 1 species
CCUACGGGUGGCAGCAGUGGGGAAUAUUGCACAAUGGGGGAAACCCGGAUGCAGCGACGCCGCGGGAGUGAAGAAGAAGUGCGGUAUGUAAAGCUCUAGCAGCAGGGAAGAAAAUGACGGUAACUGACUAAGAAGCCCCGGCUAACGACGUGCCAGCAGCCGCGGUAAUACGUAGGGGGCAAGCGUUCUCCGGAUUUACUGGGUGUAAAGGGAGCGUAGACGGCAGAGCAAGUCUGAAGUGAAAGCCCGCGGCCCAACUGCGGGACUGCUUUGGAAACUGCCCGGCUAGAGUGCUGGAGAGGUAAGCGGAAUUCCUAGUGUAGCGGUGAAAUGCGUAGAUAUUAGGAGGAACACCAGUGGCGAAGGCGGCUUACUGGACAGUAACUGACGUUGCGGCUCGAACGCGUGGGGAGCAAACAGGAUUAGAUACCCGUGUAGUC